rnacentral:tRNA from 1 species
GGUCAGUGGUUAGAGCGAUGGUCUUAAGAUCAAGAGGUCGUGGGCUCGAUCCCCGCAGGG